UAACAGGAUUAGAUACCCUGGUAGUCCACGCCGUAAACGAUGUCGACUUGGAGGUUGUGCCCUUGAGGCGUGGCUUCCGGAGCUAACGCGUUAAGUCGACCGCCUGGGGAGUACGGCCGCAAGGUUAAAACUCAAAUGAAUUGACGGGGGCCCGCACAAGCGGUGGAGCAUGUGGUUUAAUUCGAUGCAACGCGAAGAACCUUACCUGGUCUUGACAUCCACGGAAGUUUUCAGAGAUGAGAAUGUGCCUUCGGGAACCGUGAGACAGGUGCUGCAUGGCUGUCGUCAGCUCGUGUUGUGAAAUGUUGGGUUAAGUCCCGCAACGAGCGCAACCCUUAUCCUUUGUUGCCAGCGGUCCGGCCGGGAACUCAAAGGAGACAGCCAGGGAUAAACUGGAGGAAGGUGGGGAUGACGUAA
rnacentral:rRNA from 1 species